rnacentral:rRNA from 1 species
UACGGAGGGGACUAGCGUUGUUCGGAAUUACUGGGCGUAAAGCGCACGUAGGCGGAUUUGUAAGUCAGGGGUGAAAUCCCGGGGCUCAACCUCGGAACUGCCUUUGAUACUGCAAAUCUCGAGUCCGGAAGAGGUGAGUGGAAUUCCUAGUGUAGAGGUGAAAUUCGUAGAUAUUAGGAAGAACACCGGUGGCGAAGGCGGGUCUCUGGGCCGAUACUGACGCUGAGGAGCGAAAGCGUGGGGAGCGAACAGG